GAUUGAACGCUGGCGGCAUGCCUUACACAUGCAAGUCGAACGGCAGCACGGGAGCAAUCCUGGUGGCGAGUGGCGAACGGGUGAGUAAUACAUCGGAACGUGCCCAGUCGUGGGGGAUAACUACUCGAAAGAGUAGCUAAUACCGCAUACGACCUGAGGGUGAAAGCGGGGGAUCGCAAGACCUCGCGCGAUUGGAGCGGCCGAUGUCAGAUUAGCUAGUUGGUGGGGUAAAGGCCUACCAAGGCUACGAUCUGUAGUUGGUCUGAGAGGACGACCAGCCACACUGGGACUGAGACACGGCCCAGACUCCUACGGGAGGCAGCAGUGGGGAAUUUUGGACAAUGGGCGCAAGCCUGAUCCAGCAAUGCCGCGUGCAGGAAGAAGGCCUUCGGGUUGUAAACUGCUUUUGUCAGGGAAGGAAUCCUCUGGGUUAAUACCUCGGGGGGAUGACGGUACCUGAAGAA
rnacentral:rRNA from 1 species